rnacentral:lncRNA from 1 species
CUGGUGGAUGAGGGAAAGGCUGUUGGUGUAGUCCGCCUAGACUUCAGCAAGGCCUUUGACAUGGUUUCCCACAGCAUUCUGGAGAAGCUGGCAGCCCAUGGCUGGGACAGGCACACUGCUGGGUUACAAACUGGCUGGGCGGCCGGGCACAGAGAGUGGUGGUGAACGGGGUGAAAUCCAGCUGGUCACCAGUGGUGUUCCCCAGGGUUGGUGUUGGGGCCCAUCCUCGUUAAUAUCUUUAUUGAUGACUUGGAUGAGGGAAUUGAGUGCACCUUCAGUAAGUCUGCAGAUGACACCAAGCUGGGGGGAAGUGUCGAUGUGCCGGAGGGCAGGAAGGCCCUGCAGAGGGACCUGGGCAGGAUGGGUCGAUGGGCAGAGGCCGUGGGAUGAGGUUCAACAUGGCCAAGUGCCGGGUCCUGCACUUGGGGCACAGCAACCCCACGCAGCGCUACGGGCUUGGGGCAGAGUGGCUGGAAAGCUGUGCAGAGGAAAAGGACCUGGGGGUGUUGGUCAAUGCUCACCUGAACAUGAGCCAGCAGUGUGCCCAGGUGGCCAAGAAGGCCGACAGCAUCCUGGUUGUGUCAGGAGUAGUGCAGCCAGCAGGGCCAGGGAGGUGAUCGUCCCCCUGGGCUCUGCUCUGGUGAGGCUGCACCUCGAGUGCUGGGUUCAGCUUUGGGCCCCUCACUACAAGAAGGACAUUGAGGUCCUGGAGCGUGUCCAGAGAAGGGCUAUGGGGCUGGUGAAGGGCCUGGGACACAAGUCCUGUGAGGAGUGGCUGAGGGAACUGGGGGUGUUUGGUCUGGAGAAGAGGAGGCUCAGGGGCGACCUCACUGCUCUCUGCAACUACCUGAGGGGAAGGUGUGGGGAGUUGGGGGUUGGCCUCUUCUCACAGGUAACCAGUGAUAGGACUGGAGGGAAUGGCCUCAAGUUGCGCCGGGGGAGGUUCAGGUUGGAAAUGAGGAGACAUUUCUUCUCAGAAAGAGCAGUCAGGUGUUGGGACGGGUUACCCAGGGAGGUGGUGGUGUCAUCAUCCCUGGGGUGUUUAAGGAGAGGUUGGACGUGGUGCUUGGGGACACGGUUUAGUGGGUGAUACUGGUAAUAGGGUGAUGGUUGGACCAGAUGAUCUUGAAGGUCUUUUCCAACCUUAAUGAUUCUAUGGUUCUAUGAUCAUUAAUGUCAGCUUCCAAAUGAAGUCGAACAGCUUGGGUGCAGCUGCUGUCUCCUUCCCGGUU